rnacentral:rRNA from 2 species
AGAGUUUGAUCCUGGCUCAGGAUGAACGCUAGCUACAGGCUUAACACAUGCAAGUCGAGGGGCAGCAUGGUCUUAGCUUGCUAAGGCCGAUGGCGACCGGCGCACGGGUGAGUAACACGUAUCCAACCUGCCGUCUACUCUUGGACAGCCUUCUGAAAGGAAGAUUAAUACAAGAUGGCAUCAUGAGUCCGCAUGUUCACAUGAUUAAAGGUAUUCCGGUAGACGAUGGGGAUGCGUUCCAUUAGAUAGUAGGCGGGGUAACGGCCCACCUAGUCUUCGAUGGAUAGGGGUUCUGAGAGGAAGGUCCCCCACAUUGGAACUGAGACACGGUCCAAACUCCUACGGGAGGCAGCAGUGAGGAAUAUUGGUCAAUGGGCGCAGGCCUGAACCAGCCAAGUAGCGUGAAGGAUGACUGCCCUAUGGGUUGUAAACUUCUUUUAUAAAGGAAUAAAGUCGGGUAUGCAUACCCGUUUGCAUGUACUUUAUGAAUAAGGAUCGGCUAACUCCGUGCCAGCAGCCGCGGUAAUACGGAGGAUCCGAGCGUUAUCCGGAUUUAUUGGGUUUAAAGGGAGCGUAGAUGGAUGUUUAAGUCAGUUGUGAAAGUUUGCGGCUCAACCGUAAAAUUGCAGUUGAUACUGGAUAUCUUGAGUGCAGUUGAGGCAGGCGGAAUUCGUGGUGUAGCGGUGAAAUGCUUAGAUAUCACGAAGAACUCCGAUUGCGAAGGCAGCCUGCUAAGCUGCAACUGACAUUGAGGCUCGAAAGUGUGGGUAUCAAACAGGAUUAGAUACCCUGGUAGUCCACACGGUAAACGAUGAAUACUCGCUGUUUGCGAUAUACAGCAAGCGGCCAAGCGAAAGCGUUAAGUAUUCCACCUGGGGAGUACGCCGGCAACGGUGAAACUCAAAGGAAUUGACGGGGGCCCGCACAAGCGGAGGAACAUGUGGUUUAAUUCGAUGAUACGCGAGGAACCUUACCCGGGCUUAAAUUGCAGAUGAAUUACGGUGAAAGCCGUAAGCCGCAAGGCAUCUGUGAAGGUGCUGCAUGGUUGUCGUCAGCUCGUGCCGUGAGGUGUCGGCUUAAGUGCCAUAACGAGCGCAACCCUUGUUGUCAGUUACUAACAGGUUCCGCUGAGGACUCUGACAAGACUGCCAUCGUAAGAUGUGAGGAAGGUGGGGAUGACGUCAAAUCAGCACGGCCCUUACGUCCGGGGCUACACACGUGUUACAAUGGGGGGUACAGAGGGUCGCUACCACGCGAGUGGAUGCCAAUCCCCAAAACCUCUCUCAGUUCGGACUGGAGUCUGCAACCCGACUCCACGAAGCUGGAUUCGCUAGUAAUCGCGCAUCAGCCACGGCGCGGUGAAUACGUUCCCGGGCCUUGUACACACCGCCCGUCAAGCCAUGGGAGCCGGGGGUACCUGAAGUGCGUAACCGCGAGGAGCGCCCUAGGGUAAAACUGGUGACUGGGGCUAAGUCGUAACAAGGUAGCCGUACCGGAAGGUGCGGCUGGAACACCU